UACAGAGACUGCAAGCGUUAUUCGGAUUCACUGGGCGUAAAGGGUGCGUAGGUGGCCUGACAAGUUAUCAGUGGCAAAUCGAGGCUCAACCUCGUGGAAACUGGUAAUACUGUUCGGCUUGAGUACAGGAGAGGUUAACGGAACUCUAUGUGGAGCGGUAAAAUGCACAGAUAUAUAGAAGAACAUCAAUAAAGGCGAAGGCAGUUAACUAUUCUGUUACUGACGCUGAGGCACGAAAGCGUGGGGAGCAAAACGG
rnacentral:rRNA from 1 species